rnacentral:rRNA from 1 species
UACGUAGGGCGCAAGCGUUGUCCGGAAUUAUUGGGCGUAAAGAGCUCGUAGGCGGUUUGUCGCGUCUGCUGUGAAAUCCCGAGGCUCAACCUCGGGCUUGCAGUGGGUACGGGCAGACUAGAGUGCGGUAGGGGAGACUGGAAUUCCUGGUGUAGCGGUGGAAUGCGCAGAUAUCAGGAGGAACACCGAUGGCGAAGGCAGGUCUC